rnacentral:rRNA from 1 species
AGUAAAAGUCGUAACAAGGUUUCCGUAGGUGAACCUGCGGAAGGAUCAUUAACGAGUUGAACGGGGUUGUAGCUGGCCUUCACGGGCAUGUGCACACCUCACUCAUCCACUCUACACCUGUGCACUUACUGUGGGUUUCGAGAGGCCGCGCUUGCGUGGUUGAUCGGGCUCACGUCUAUUACAAACUCUUCAGUAUCAGAAUGUGUAUCGCGAUGUAACGCAUCUAUAUACAACUUUCAGCAACGGAUCUCUUGGCUCUCGCAUCGAUGAAGAACGCAGCGAAAUGCGAUAAGUAAUGUGAAUUGCAGAAUUCAGUGAAUCAUCGAAUCUUUGAACGCACCUUGCGCUCCUUGGUAUUCCGAGGAGCAUGCCUGUUUGAGUGUCGUGUAAUUCUCAACCUAUAAAUCCUUGUGGUUUUUAGGCUUGGACUUGGAGGCUUUUGCUGGCUUUACCGUCGGCUCCUCUUAAACGCAUUAGCUUGAUUCCUUGCGGAUCGGCUCUCAGUGUGAUAAUUAUCUGCGCUGUGACCGUGAAGCGUUUGGCGAGCUUCUAACCGUCUCUUCGAGACAAACACUUUGACAUCUGACCUCAAAUCAGGUAGGACUACCCGCUGAACUUAAGCAUAUCAAUAAGCGGAGGA